UGGGGGAUAUUGCACAAUGGGCGAAAGCCUGAUGCAGCGACGCCGCGUGGGGGAUGAAGGCCUUCGGGUUGUAAACUUCUUUUGCUCUGAACAAGGCGCACCAUGGGGUGUGUUGAGUGUAGGGGUUGAUUAGCGCCGGCUAACUACGUGCCAGCAGCCGCGGUAAUACGUAGGGCGCGAGCGUUGUCCGGAAUUAUUGGGCGGAAAGGGCUUGUAGGUGGCUGGUUGCGUCUGUCGUGAAAGCUCAUGGCUUAACUGUGGGUUUGCGGUGGGUACGGGCUGGCUUGAGUGCAGUAGGGGAGGCUGGAAUUCCUGGUGUAGCGGUGGAAUGCGCAGAUAUCAGGAGGAAUACCGGUGGCGAAGGCGGGUCUCUGGGCUGUUACUGACACUGAGGAGCGAAAGCAUGGGGAGCGAACAGG
rnacentral:rRNA from 1 species